rnacentral:rRNA from 1 species
UACAGAGGUCCCGAGCGUUGUCCGGAUUAUUGGGCGUAAAGAGCUCGUAGGCGGCUUGUCGCGUCGUGUGUGAAAUCUCAGGGCUCAACUCUGACAUUGCAUACGAUACGGGCAGGCUUGAGUUCGUAGGGGAGACUGGAAUUCCUGGUGUAGCGGUGAAAUGCGCAGAUAUCAGGAGGAACACCGGUGGCGAAGGCGGGUCUCUGGGCCGAAUACUGACGCUGAGGAGCGAAAGCGUGGGGAGCG